rnacentral:tRNA from 1 species
AGUGGCUUAGGAUAAUGAUUCAAACCCUGAGCCUUCAAAGCUCAUAAUGGGAGUGGAAGUCUCCCAGCCACUG